CUGGUAACCUAACAAUUCUAAUGCACCAUUCUUAUUCAAUAAGUCUUCCAAAUAUAAACACAUUCAGACAAAUUGGCUUCCUACCUAUGCCAAUCAAAUUUGGUCCGACAAGCAGGAGAAAAUGAUAUAAGGUAAUGUUUUCGGAAAAAGGCUUUCGCUAGGAAAUGCUUUUGGAUUUUAGUGCAACUGCCCUGCCUUGGAUUUUGAUAUCAAAGUAUGGAUGC
rnacentral:lncRNA from 1 species